UACGAAGGGGGCUAGCGUUGCUCGGAAUCACUGGGCGUAAAGGGUGCGUAGGCGGGUCUUUAAGUCAGGGGUGAAAUCCUGGAGCUCAACUCCAGAACUGCCUUUGAUACUGAGGAUCUUGAGUUCGGGAGAGGUGAGUGGAACUGCGAGUGUAGAGGUGAAAAUUCGUAGAUAUUCGCAAGAACACCAGUGGCGAAGGCGGCUCACUGGCCCGAUACUGACGCUGAGGCACGGAAAAGCGUGGG
rnacentral:rRNA from 1 species